CCCAGCGGUGAUAGCAUGCUGAAUGCAUUAGUUCCCAAUGGUUCACUGAGGUUAAGGAACGUUGGGCGUGGUUGGUAUCUGGAUGGGUGACUAUCUGGGAAAACGUUAGCAGUUGUAC
rnacentral:rRNA from 1 species